AUUGAACGCUGGCGGCGUGCCUAACACAUGCAAGUCGAGCGGUAACAGGCGUAGCAAUACGUGCUGACGAGCGGCGAACGGGUGAGCAAUGCUUCGGAAUCUGCCCAAUGAUGGGGAAUAACCAGUCGAAAGAUUGGCUAAUACCGCAUACGCCCUUCGGGGGAAAGCGGGGGUCGCAAGACCUCGCGUCGAUGGAUGAGCCGAAGUCGGAUUAGCUAGUUGGUAGGGUAACGGCCUACCAAGGCGACGAUCCGUAGCUGGGCUGAGAGGACGACCGGCCACACUGGAACUGGGACACGGCCCAGACUCCUACGGGAGGCAGCAGUGGGGAAUAUUGGACAAUGGGGGCAACCCUGAUCCAGCGACGCCGCGUGUGUGAAGAAGGCCUGCGGGUUGUAAAGCACUUUUAGUGGGGAUGAAAAGCACAUUGCUAAUACCAGUGUGUCUUGACCUAACCCAAAGAAAAAGCACCGGCUAACUCUGUGCCAGCCGCCGCCGUAACAC
rnacentral:rRNA from 1 species